rnacentral:lncRNA from 1 species
GGGGGAGCCUGGUGGGCUGCCGUCUAUGGGAUCCCACAGAGUUGGACACGACUGAAGUGACUUAGCAGCAGCAGCAGCAACAACACUCUUCCUUAUUCACCUCUGAGGAGUAAAAACCAAGCAAUAUUCUCCUAGGAAGAUGGAGCUUUGACUGUGAUUCAAUAAGCCUCUGUAUAGUGACUUUUCAAUAGAUUUUCCAUCUUUCCAUUCCCUUGAGUUUUUUAGGAGUAAGAACAAGGCCUGAGUCAGGAAGAUAAUUACAUGAGCAAUUUAUUAAACUGUGUUGUAGCCUUUAAAGAGAUUUCAUUUUCUUUUGACCCUUGUUUCCUUAUAUCUCCCUCAUCUUACUUCUACUGUAGCCACUGUGAUGUUAACACCACAUGAACAGGGUAUGUGUUCCUGGAAACAGCCUGUUUUUCAUUUAGGUCAGAAUUUCUCCAACUGGUAUGUACUCUUUGACAUCCUAGAAUUCUCUAUGUGAAAUCAAAAUUAAUUUGAGUGCAUUCUGUAACUUUUGGAAGACAAUCUGUAAUUUGAGUGUUCACAUUUGAGUUUGUGUCAUAGGUGUGUUCUCAUCAAAUAGGAAGGAAAGUUUUUCAUUAGUUUAAGUUAAAAAAUGUGGGAGAAUUGAGUCAUUACAGACCACACAGUAGGAUAGACCCCAUGGCAGUCAGACUCUGUUGUAAUUGGUGAUCUGUUGGUUUGGACCCACUUUUUGUGCAAAGGCUCCUCUGCCCUCCAUUGUCUCCCAGAUUUUGCUCAAAUUUAUGCCCAUUGAGUCAGUGAUAUUAUCUAAGCAUCUCAUUCUCUUUUUCACCUGCAAUCUUUCUGGUAUGAGUCUUUUCCAAUGAGUCAGCUCUUUGCAUCAGCCCACUUUGGCUGUCUUUGGCUCAGGUGGCCAAAACAUUAGAGCUUCAGCUUCAGCAUCAGUCUUUCCAAUGAAUAUUCAGGUUUGCUUUCCUUUAGGAUUGACUGGUUUGAUCUCGUUUCGGUGUUAAAUGUAAGCAAAUUAAGGAGGAGGGCUGAGCUGAAGUUUAAGACUGUAAAAUAAUUUCAGAGGAGUUGCUAUUGAGGAAUUAAUAGACUUAUCUAUGAAUUGUUCUCUAAAUUUACCAGAUUAAAAGGAUCAACCUUAAUAUUAUUUUAAAAGCAAGUUUUCAUUGGAGAGUGUUUCUCUGGGUCUGGGUUGGGAUUCUAAAAUUUUUAACAAGCCUCUAGAGGGAUUUUUAUAACUACCAGGUGUGGGAAACUAGACACCACAGAGAGAGGGAGUUAACUAAGAGUGAGUAAGAGGAUUGGAAGAUAAAGGCUGGACUCAGGUCAAGGGGUGAAAGGAAUGGGAGGAGAGUACAGUCAGAAAUGUUGAUCCCUGCAUUGCCGGCUGAAUAGGGGUAGGAAUGAAGCUAAGAAGGAAGAAUACGCUUGUACUUGGUCCUAAAAAAUAAUGAGGGUGUGUCUACUGGUAGGCUAAAAGAGCAACUUGCUAUGGUAAAAGAUUUCAGAGAUCACGGUUUCAGUAGUGGAGCAGAUUCUGAAUUUGUGUUGACAUGAAUGCCGUGGAAAAUGGCAGAAUAGUUUUUCUGGCUUUGCUUCCUUCAAAUUCAUGAUCAAUAAUGCUGCCAGGAAACUCUU